GGGUUGUGAGGUUAAGCGACUAAGCGUACACGGUGGAUGCCCUGGCAGUCAGAGGCGAUGAAGGGCGUGCUAAUCUGCGAUAAGCGCCGGUAAGGUGAUAUGAACCGUUAUAACCGGCGAUACCCGAAUGGGGAAACCCAGUGUGAUUCGUCACACUAUCAUUAACUGAAUCCAUAGGUUAAUGAGGCGAACCGGGGGAACUGAAACAUCUAAGUACCCCGAGGAAAAGAAAUCAACCGAGAUUCCCCCAGUAGCGGCGAGCGAACGGGGAGGAGCCCAGAGCCUGAAUCAGCAUGUGUGUUAGUGGAAGCGUCUGGAAAGGCGCGCGAUACAGGGUGACAGCCCCGUACACAAAAGCGCAUGUGCUGUGAGCUCGAUGAGUAGGGCGGGACACGUGGUAUCCUGUCUGAAUAUGGGGGGACCAUCCUCCAAGGCUAAAUACUCCUGACUGACCGAUAGUGAACCAGUACCGUGAGGGAAAGGCGAAAAGAACCCCGGCGAGGGGAGUGAAAAAGAACCUGAAACCGUGUACGUACAAGCAGUGGGAGCACAGGUUUACCUGUGUGACUGCGUACCUUUUGUAUAAUGGGUCAGCGACUUAUAUUCUGUAGCAAGGUUAACCGAAUAGGGGAGCCGGAGGGAAACCGAGUCUUAAUUGGGCGUUAAGUUGCAGGGUAUAGACCCGAAACCCGGUGAUCUAGCCAUGGGCAGGUUGAAGGUUGGGUAACACUAACUGGAGGACCGAACCGACUAAUGUUGAAAAAUUAGCGGAUGACCUGUGGCUGGGGGUGAAAGGCCAAUCAAACCGGGAGAUAGCUGGUUCUCCCCGAAAGCUAUUUAGGUAGCGCCUCGUGAACUCAUCUCCGGGGGUAGAGCACUGUUUCGGCUAGGGGGCCAUCCCGGCUUACCAACCCGAUGCAAACUGCGAAUACCGGAGAAUGUUAUCACGGGAGACACACGGCGGGUGCUAACGUCCGUCGUGAAGAGGGAAACAACCCAGACCGCCAGCUAAGGUCCCAAAGUCAUGGUUAAGUGGGAAACGAUGUGGGAAGGCCCAGACAGCCAGGAUGUUGGCUUAGAAGCAGCCAUCAUUUAAAGAAAGCGUAAUAGCUCACUGGUCGAGUCGGCCUGCGCGGAAGAUGUAACGGGGCUAAACCAUGCACCGAAGCUGCGGCAGCGACACUGUGUGUUGUUGGGUAGGGGAGCGUUCUGUAAGCCUGUGAAGGUGGCCUGUGAGGGUUGCUGGAGGUAUCAGAAGUGCGAAUGCUGACAUAAGUAACGAUAAAGCGGGUGAAAAGCCCGCUCGCCGGAAGACCAAGGGUUCCUGUCCAACGUUAAUCGGGGCAGGGUGAGUCGACCCCUAAGGCGAGGCCGAAAGGCGUAGUCGAUGGGAAACGGGUUAAUAUUCCCGUACUUGGUGUUACUGCGAAGGGGGGACGGAGAAGGCUAUGUUGGCCGGGCGACGGUUGUCCCGGUUUAAGCGUGUAGGUGUGUGUUCCAGGUAAAUCCGGUUCACUUUAACACUGAGGCGUGAUGACGAGGCACUACGGUGCUGAAGCAACAAAUGCCCUGCUUCCAGGAAAAGCCUCUAAGCAUCAGGUAACAUCAAAUCGUACCCCAAACCGACACAGGUGGUCAGGUAGAGAAUACCAAGGCGCUUGAGAGAACUCGGGUGAAGGAACUAGGCAAAAUGGUGCCGUAACUUCGGGAGAAGGCACGCUGACACGUAGGUGAAGUGAUUUACUCAUGGAGCUGAAGUCAGUCGAAGAUACCAGCUGGCUGCAACUGUUUAUUAAAAACACAGCACUGUGCAAACACGAAAGUGGACGUAUACGGUGUGACGCCUGCCCGGUGCCGGAAGGUUAAUUGAUGGGGUCAGCGCAAGCGAAGCUCCUGAUCGAAGCCCCGGUAAACGGCGGCCGUAACUAUAACGGUCCUAAGGUAGCGAAAUUCCUUGUCGGGUAAGUUCCGACCUGCACGAAUGGCGUAAUGAUGGCCAGGCUGUCUCCACCCGAGACUCAGUGAAAUUGAACUCGCUGUGAAGAUGCAGUGUACCCGCGGCAAGACGGAAAGACCCCGUGAACCUUUACUAUAGCUUGACACUGAACAUUGAGCCUUGAUGUGUAGGAUAGGUGGGAGGCUUUGAAGUGUGGACGCCAGUCUGCAUGGAGCCGACCUUGAAAUACCACCCUUUAAUGUUUGAUGUUCUAACGUGGACCCGUAAUCCGGGUUGCGGACAGUGUCUGGUGGGUAGUUUGACUGGGGCGGUCUCCUCCUAAAGAGUAACGGAGGAGCACGAAGGUUGGCUAAUCCUGGUCGGACAUCAGGAGGUUAGUGCAAUGGCAUAAGCCAGCUUGACUGCGAGCGUGACGGCGCGAGCAGGUGCGAAAGCAGGUCAUAGUGAUCCGGUGGUUCUGAAUGGAAGGGCCAUCGCUCAACGGAUAAAAGGUACUCCGGGGAUAACAGGCUGAUACCGCCCAAGAGUUCAUAUCGACGGCGGUGUUUGGCACCUCGAUGUCGGCUCAUCACAUCCUGGGGCUGAAGUAGGUCCCAAGGGUAUGGCUGUUCGCCAUUUAAAGUGGUACGCGAGCUGGGUUUAGAACGUCGUGAGACAGUUCGGUCCCUAUCUGCCGUGGGCGCUGGAGAACUGAGGGGGGCUGCUCCUAGUACGAGAGGACCGGAGUGGACGCAUCACUGGUGUUCGGGUUGUCAUGCCAAUGGCACUGCCCGGUAGCUAAAUGCGGAAGAGAUAAGUGCUGAAAGCAUCUAAGCACGAAACUUGCCCCGAGAUGAGUUCUCCCUGAGACUUAGAGUCUCCUGAAGGAACGUUGAAGACGACGACGUUGAUAGGCCGGGUGUGUAAGCGCAGCGAUGCGUUGAGCUAACCGGUACUAAUGAACCGUGAGGCUUAACCUUACAACGCCGAAG
rnacentral:rRNA from 1 species